rnacentral:rRNA from 1 species
CCAGCAGCAAUCGAAACGCAGACGCCGGCCGACGGCGCACCGCGAAGGGAAGGGCGAACCGCAGCAACACACCACAAAUGUGGGAGACAGAGAGGAGGAAGCAACGCAACCCACCACACAGACCGAAACACCGCGACAGCCCACGACAACGCAGACCAACCGGCCUCCCCCCAACCCAGACGCCCACGGAUAGACGAACGGCAACCGCUCGGCGCGCGGGAACAACCACACAACAGCCCCCACCCCAGAAAGAAACUCGAAAGACGGCCCACAACAGCCACAGGACAAAGCCCACACUCCACGCGACGCCGGGGGCACCCACCACCACACCUCCACAUCGUACGCAGCAGGGGAGACGCGACCAGCCAGAAAAAGAUACAACCCCCGGGGGCCGAUCGCG